rnacentral:lncRNA from 1 species
UCAGAAGAACAAGCUCAGAGCUCAGAUCGACGUCCCACAUCAAGAGAAGAAGUUUUGUGCUUCUUGAAUGAGCUUGGUUGGCUUUUCCAGAAGAACCAGACCUCUGAACUUCGGGAACAAUCCGACUUUUCCCUUGCCCGCUUCAAGUUUUUGCUCGUUUGCUCAGUUGAAAGAGAUUACUGUGCUCUCAUCAGAACACUCCUUGACAUGUUAGUAGAGAGAAAUUUGGUGAAUAAUGAGCUGAACACAGAAGCCUUGAAUAUGCUCGCUGAGAGUCAGUUGUUGAAUCGUGCUGUUAAGAGGAAAAGCACAAAAAUGGUCGAACUACUUAUUCAUUACCCAGUUAAUCCCUCGGCACUCAAGUCCUCUAACAACUUUGUUUUCUUACCCAACAUAACUGGACCUGGCGGUAUCACACCUUUACAUCUAGCUGCGUGUACAUCUGGGUCAGAUGAUAUGGUUGAUCUGCUGACAAAUGACUCACAAGAGGUAUGGCUCUCUCCCUCUUGCUGCCUCUCUCAAACGUAAUUUUAUUUCUUGCAACCCAUAAGACUGAGGAAACCGUAUUGCUGUUUCAGGUCGGAUUAUCAAGCUGGAACACUCUUUGUGAUGCAGCCGGCCAAACUCCAUACAGCUACGCUGCAAUGAGGAACAACCAUAGCUAUAACUCUCUGGUGGCUCGUAAACUUGCAGACAAAAGAAACAAGCAAGUCUCACUAAACAUUGAGAACGAGAUUGUUGACCAAAGGGGUAUGAGCAAGAGAUUAAGUUCAGAGAUGAACAAAUCAUCUUGUGCGUCGUGUGCAACCGUGGCUCUCAAGUAUCAGAGGAGAGUUUCAGGUUCACACCGUUUGUUCCCAACGCCUAUCAUUCACUCAAUGCUCGCAGUUGCAACAGUCUGCGUUUGCGUCUGCGUUUUCAUGCAUGCUUUCCCAAUCGUGAGACAAGGAUCUCACUUCAGUUGGGGAGGUUUGGAUUAUGGCUCAAUCUAGACAACAACAUAUAUAUAAAUUAUAAUUUUAUUCUUUUGGUUUCACAAAAUAAGAGAAAAAGGGAAGAGACUUCGCACGAAUAUAUAAGGAAAAGCUCAGAGACUUGACUGUGACAACGACCAAAGUGUGACUACAGUAGUAUUACUCAAGGGAGUUUCACCGUCGGGAGUUCUUUUUUUUUUUUUUCAAUUAUAUAUAUUUUGGUUUGGCUAAUUUGUUGUGUGUAUUUCUGUGUAUUUUGUUUCUAUAUUUUGAUUAUGAUUAUUCUUUAACUAAGAUAAUAACCUGCUGCUUCAUAUAAGAGGCAGUUGUUUUACUGUUUUUUUGUAUUUUGGUUCUUGUAAAUUUGUACUUUGUACAACUAGCUCCUUGUUCAUGUUGUAACUUGAAUAACAUUGUUUUUUUCUUUCUUUUUUGUCGAAAGUCUAAAUGCAUUACCAUUUGAAACUUACAUUACUAUUACAUGAUAUAGAACGAUGUUUGUGUAAACAAUAUGAAGAUGGAGUAAUCUUGUCACAUAUGCCUCUUAUGUCAACGAUUCCCUUGUCGGGAUUCUCAAACAUCAAACCUCACAAGUUAGUGUAUUGUUUUGCAUGAUCUUGUAGCUCAUUUGAUUUAAUGGCUUAGCUCCACCUCGUGAGUUCAAGUCAUGGCAGAGUAGGAGAGGAGGCAAAGAAGAUACACACUUUAUCCAAAAAGAAACUGAAAACUCAUGAGAUAUCUUUUAGUUCAAAGGAAUUUAUAUUUGUCACAAGUAGACAAUGAAUUUUUUUUUGAGAUUAGUGUGAUUUGAUUACUUCAUACUAAACGACGUACUUAAUGACAUUGAAAGGAAACGAUGUCGAAAAAGAAAUUAUGGAUCUCGAUUAAUUUGAAGAAGUAAAAAACAGAAAUGUUUUUGGACUAUCAAAUCAAAAAAUUUAACUUUAAUCAAUGGAUAAAAAGCAAAUGGGAAAUGUCUUGGAUCGAAUAUUACCAUGUAAAUGCCCUCGUUUCUGUUUGAAUUUACAGAAUGUGCCACCACCGUAGAAAACAAAUAAGAAAGAAAAAAAAAAGUUAUCGUAGAAGGUAAGGACUUGAAGACAGCAGAACACGGAUUAAACAAAAAAAAAAGCUUGAUCAGCGGAAAAAAGAAGAAGGACAAGUUUGAGACUUUGGGGAUUUUAAGAAGGUGGGUCGAAGCUGGUGAAGAGGAAUAAUCAAAUCAUUUCUCUUGUUUUGCUGGAUUGGAUCGGGAAAUCUACAAGUGUUUGAAGAUUCGUUUUUUGAAAAUUUGUUCGAAUCUGAACAAGUUCUUAACAUUCGAAUUCGGGUGAUGUUUAGCUUGAUUCGUCUCCAGCUUUCGUUGAAUCGAGGAAGAGUUUAUGCUUGAAGCUGCCAAGAUUCUGAUUUUGGGUUUAUUGAUUAGAGAAGUUUUCUAGCUAGGCGGUAGAUAUGUUGAGUAUGUACGGUGGCUCGGUAGAUAUGUUCUUCUGCAAAUACUGAAUCUUCUUCUUCUUCAUCAUCAAGCUGAUUGAUCAAAGUCUAUUUUUGGAAUUUGAAAAGAAGAGACUUUAAAAAAAGGGUCAGAUCGAUUUCGGAGGAGAGAGAGAGAGAUAUGGAUGAGGUAGGUGCUCAAGUAGCUACUCCGAUGUUCAUUCAUCCGUCGCUAUCUCCGAUGGGGAGAAAACGUGAUCUUUACUAUCCGAUGUCGACUCGGCUGGUACCGUCGUCUCAGCCGCAGCCGCAGCGAAGAGAUGAGUGGAACUCUAAGAUGUGGGAUUGGGAUAGCCGGAGAUUUGAAGCUACACCGGUGGAAGCUCAGGUUCUUCUUCUGGGCAACGAGACACAACAGUUUGAUUUGACUUCAAGGAAUAAGAGUGGAGAAGAAAGAGGACUUGAUUUGAAUCUGGGAAGUGGUUUGACUGCGGAGGAAGACACCACAACGACGACGACGCAGAACAUUAGACCGAACAAGAAGGUUCGUUCUGGAUCUCCGGGAGGGAAUUAUCCGAUGUGUCAGGUGGAUAAUUGUACUGAAGAUUUAUCUCAUGCUAAGGAUUAUCACAGAAGGCAUAAAGUGUGUGAAGUUCAUAGCAAAGCUACCAAAGCUCUCGUUGGGAAACAGAUGCAGAGGUUUUGCCAACAGUGCAGCAGGUAAGGAAGAAGAGUGAUUUGUUCUUAUUGUAUCCAAUUUGAUUUUUUUCUGGUGAUGGUUCUCUGUUUUUUUUUUUUUUUUUCUUAAUCUGGUUAUGAAUGAUUUUCGCAGGUUUCAUCUGCUCUCGGAGUUUGAUGAAGGAAAGAGAAGUUGUAGGCGUAGAUUGGCUGGCCACAACCGAAGGAGGAGGAAGACAACACAGCAGGAGGAGGUUGUCGUUCCGGGGAACCGUGAUAAUUCGUCUAACGCCAAUAUGGAUCUUAUGGCUUUGUUAACCGCCUUAGCUUGUGCACAAGGUAUUAGCUUGCGAAUAUACAAGAGUUUUUUUUUUGUCUUGGAAUUCUGCUCGGAUGUUCUUGUUUUAUUAACAGCUUUGUUGUCUGCGAGCUGCAGGUAAGAAUGAGGUAAAGCCAGUGACUACUUCUCCAGCUGUGCCUGAUAGAGAGCAGCUUCUUCAGAUACUUACCAAGAUAAAUGCAUUGCCGUUGCCUAUGGACCUUGUCUCUAAGUUGAACAAUAUUGGAAAUUUAGCCAGGAAAAAUCUGGAUCAACCAAUGGCGCACCCCCCAAAUGAUAUGAAUGGCGCUUCUCCUUCUACAAUGGACUUGCUUGCUGUUCUUUCGUCAACGUUAGGCUCCUCUUCACCUGAUACGCUAGCCAUAUUGUCUCAAGGUGGGUUUGGUUACAAAGACAGUGACAAGACUAAGUUAUCUUCUUAUGAUCACGGUGUUGCAACCAAUGUGGAAAAGAGAACUUUAGGGUUUUCUUCUGGUGGGGGAGAGAGGAGCAGUAGCAGUAACCUAUCUCCAUCUCAGGAUUCAGAUUCACGUGCUCAAGACACUAGGUCUAGCCUGUCUCUACAAUUAUUUACCUCAUCUCCCGAGGAUGAGAGUCGACCAACAGUGGCAUCUUCUCGAAAGUAUUAUUCUUCUGCAAGCAGUAAUCCUGUUGAGGAUAGAUCUCCGUCGUCCUCCCCGGUCAUGCAGGAGUUAUUCCCAUUGCAGACGUCCCCUGAAACCAUGAGGUCUAAGAAUCACAAUAACUCAAGUCCCAGGACUGGUUGUCUGCCGCUUGAGCUCUUUGGUGCAUCAAAUAGAGGAACUGCGAAUACUAAUUUUAAAGGUUUGGGGCAACAGUCUGGGUAUGCUUCUUCUGGUUCUGACUACUCUCCUCCCAGCUUAAACUCUGAUUCUCAGGUUUGUAGCUUUUCAAUUCCUCUUUAGCAUCUAUUUGUACGUAGAUAAAACAAGCCACUUAUGGUUUAUAUAUAUAUGGCAUUCAAACAGGACCGCACUGGAAAGAUAGUUUUCAAACUACUUGAUAAAGAUCCAAGUCAGCUCCCUGGGACAUUACGAUCGGAGGUGAUAAUUUCUGAGCAUGAUCCUUACCUGAAAUAUUAAAGUUACUGGUUGCUUCUGUUUCAGUCCUCAUAGUUAUUGUCUUCCUUUUAUUACAGAUCUAUAAUUGGCUUUCGAACAUUCCAUCAGAAAUGGAGAGUUAUAUCAGGCCUGGCUGUGUUGUUCUAUCUGUCUAUAUAGCGAUGGCACCUGCAGCCUGGGAACAGGUGAGUGGAAAUUGUUUUUAAUAUUUGGUUAUUAAAUUAUUCAAUGAUAUGUAUAUAGCUUAGGAGCAGUUGGUGGUUUUUAUUUUUACAGCUUGAGCGAAACUUGCUGCAACGGCUAGGUGUUUUGCUAAACAAUUCUCAGUCUGAUUUUUGGAGAGAAGCUAGAUUUAUUGUUAACACAGGCAGACAGCUCGCAUCACACAAAAAUGGUUAGUGCUCACGAGCGUUACUUCUUUGUAACCUUGAUGCAACAUUUAUCUCACUAUAAUUAUAACAUAUCAUUGGUUACAGGUAGAGUUCGAUGUAGCAAAUCUUGGAGAACUUGGAAUUCACCAGAGCUCAUCUCAGUGUCUCCUGUAGCUGUGGUAGCUGGUGAGGAAACAAGUUUGGUAGUAAGAGGUAGAAGCUUGACUAAUGAUGGGAUCAGGUAACUUAAAAAAAAAAUAAAACAGUUUCAUAGUGUUUCUCAUAUUUUCUUAAUUCUUUCUAAGCUUUAUCAUCAUCGUGAUGCCAGUAUUCGUUGCACACAUAUGGGUACCUACAUGUCGAUGGAAGUAACUGGAGCAGCAUGUAGACAAGCAGUAUUUGAUGAGUUGAAUGUAAAUAGUUUCAAAGUGCAAAAUGCACAGCCAGGUUUUCUUGGACGCUGUUUCAUUGAGGUAGAACUUCAUAUAACUGAACUUGAUAGUUUCUUUGUCAGUCUAGAGAUGUUUAAAGCCUAGAUUUUAUGCAGGUGGAGAAUGGUUUCAGGGGUGACAGUUUUCCAUUGAUAAUUGCCAAUGCGUCCAUCUGCGAAGAGUUAAAUCGCCUUGAAGAAGAGUUUCACCCCAGAAGUCAAGAUACAUCAGAAGAACAAGCGCAGAGCUCAGAUCGUCGUCCCACAUCAAGAGAAGAAGUUAUGUGCUUCUUGAAUGAGCUUGGUUGGCUUUUCCAAAAGAACCAGACCUCUGAACUUCGGGAACAAUCCGACUUUUCCCUUGCCCGCUUCAAGUUUUUGCUCGUUUGCUCAGUUGAAAGAGAUUACUGUGCUCUCAUUAGAACACUCCU